UUGUUUAAGGUACACUGUUUAAAAUCAUGUCUUCUUUUUCAAGUUGUGUGAUCAGGCACGUAUGGCGGUGAAUAUUUUAAGAUUUAGAAAUAAAAAUACGAGACAAAUAUUAACUAUUAACCAAAUACAGUUAAAAAUAUUUAUUUGUGUAUAAGAAACCAUUCAUUGUUUCCUAGUUAAAAACAAUGGGUCAAUUAACAAAACGCUCACUGGUCAAUUACAACAAUUACUGUAAUCGAUAUGCAGAACCAAAUCAGAUUUCAACGUCUCAAGUGCUGGAUUUUUAUGUUCCGCAAUACUUUGUGAAAAAUUCUGUUUUCUGUUUUGCGUUGAAAGUUGUUCAAUAAAAAAUGGGGACUGUAUCUAAUUUAUUACGGAUGGUUGUUGUCAUUGUGAACUGUCUGUUUAUGAUCACUGGACUCGCUUUCUUCGCCGGGGGGACUGUUUCUGCGAUUCGGAGAUUCCGUACUCGACGGUGCUGUAAGUGGUGCCGAGUCGUCUCUGGAGACGUCCUUGUCCAGUGCUGGCUUUGGCACAGUAGAUAUUAAUUUAGAAUUGUCUUCGAUGCUUUUUGCACUGGCCUUGGUCUUUACUUUCGUAGGACUGGCGAUAAUUAUCAUCACCAUGAUGGGUUGCUGCGGUGCGUGUUGCAAGAUCAAAUGCAUGCUCAUUUUUUAUGUUGUUGUGUGUUCCAUCUUGUUGAUCGGCCAGGCAGUGACAGUGGGCAUAGUCUAUGGCUCGCCUAAAACAAUUAAAGAUCCUUUGAAGACAAGUCUAAAGAACAACAUUCAGUCGGACUAUGGCGGUUUAAAUGGUACAAACCUAGUAUCCCAGGGCUGGAAUGUCAUCAUGCAAAAGGUAAUAGCGUCUACGUAAAACACAUUUUACCUAGGAUGAGGACCAAACAAAGGAAUUUCCAGCCUCUUUGACCU